GAAGGUAAGGCGGAUCUCUUAAAGCUGUUCUCAGUUCGGACUGCAGUCUGCAACUCGCCUACACGAAGCUGGAAUCGCUAGUAAUCGCGGAUCAGCACGCCGCGGUGAAUACGUUCCCGGGCCUUGUACACACUGCCCGUCACACCAUGAGAGUCUGUAACACCCAAAGCCGGUGGGAUAACCUUUAUAGGAGUCAGCCGUCUAAGGUAGGACAGAUGAUUAGGGUGAAGUCGUAACAAGGUAAC
rnacentral:rRNA from 1 species